AUUGAACGCUGGCGGCAUGCCUUACACAUGCAAGUCGAACGGCAGCACGGGAGCAAUCCUGGUGGCGAGUGGCGAACGGGUGAGUAAUACAUCGGAACGUGCCCAGUAGUGGGGGAUAACCCGGCGAAAGCCGGACUAAUACCGCAUACGACCUACGGGUGAAAGCAGGGGAUCGCAAGACCUUGCGCUAUCGGAGCGGCCGAUGUCAGAUUAGCUUGUUGGCGGGGAAAAGCCCACCAAGGCGACGAUCUGUAGCUGGUCUGAGAGGACGACCAGCCACACUGGGACUGAGACACGGCCCAGACUCCUACGGGAGGCAGCAGUGGGGAAUUUUGGACAAUGGGCGCAAGCCUGAUCCAG
rnacentral:rRNA from 1 species